rnacentral:rRNA from 1 species
AUUGAACGCUGGCGGCAGGCCUAACACAUGCAAGUCGAACGAGUGGCGGACGGGUGAGUAAUGUAUGGGAAAGUGCCUGAUGGAGGGGGAUAACUACUGGAAAAGGUGGCUAAUACCGCAUACAAUCAGAUGUGCACAGAUGGGAUUAGCUUGUUGGUGGGGUAAAGGCUCACCAAGGCGACGAUCCCUAGCUGGUCUGAGAGGAUGACCAGCCACACUGGAACUGAGACACGGCCCAGACUCCUACGGGAGGCAGCAGUGGGGAAUUUUGGACAAUGGACGAAAGCCGGAUCCAGCCAUGCCGCGUGUAUGAAGAAGGCCUUCGGGUUGUAAAGUACUUUUGUCAGGGAGGCGUUAUCCGAAGAAGAAGCACCGGCUAACUCCGUGCCAGCAGCCGCGGUAAUUC